rnacentral:rRNA from 1 species
UACCAGCACCCCGAGUGGUCGGGACGUUUAUUGGGCCUAAAGCAUCCGUAGCCGGUUCUACAAGUCUUCCGUUAAAUCCACCUGCUUAACAGAUGGGCUGCGGAAGAUACUAUGGAGCUAGGAGGCGGGAGAGGCAAGCGGUACUCGAUGGGUAGGGGUAAAAUCCGUUGAUCCAUUGAAGACCACCAGUGGCGAAGGCGGCUUGCCAGAACGCGCUCGACGGUGAGGGAUGAAGCUGGGGGAGCAACCGG